rnacentral:rRNA from 1 species
GAUGAACGCUGGCGGCGUGCCUAAUACAUGCAAGUCGAGCGAACAGACGAGGAGCUUGCUCCUCUGACGUUAGCGGCGGACGGGUGAGUAACACGUGGAUAACCUACCUAUAAGACUGGGAUAACUUCGGGAAACCGGAGCUAAUACCGGAUAAUAUAUUCAACCGCAUGGUUCAAUAGUGAAAGACGGUUUUGCUGUCACUUAUCGAUGGAUCCGCGCCGCAUUAGCUAGUUGGUAAGGUAACGGCUUACCAAGGCGACGAUGCGUAGCCGACCUGAGAGGGUGAUCGGCCACACUGGAACUGAGACACGGUCCAGACUCCUACGGGAGGCAGCAGUAGGGAAUCUUCCGCAAUGGGCGAAAGCCUGACGGAGCAACGCCGCGUGAGUGAUGAAGGUCUUCGGAUCGUAAAACUCUGUUAUUAGGGAAGAACAAAUGUGUAAGUAACUAUGCACGUCUUGACGGUACCUAAUCAGAAAGCCACGGCUAACUACGUG